rnacentral:rRNA from 1 species
UACGAGGGGGGCGAGCGUUGUUCGGAAUUAUUGGGCGUAAAGGGUGCGUAGGCGGUUCCGCAAGUCCUGUGUGAAAUCUUCGGGCUCAACUCGAAGUCUGCACGGGAAACUGCGGGGCUUGAGUGUGGGAGAGGUGAGUGGAAUUCCCGGUGUAGCGGUGAAAUGCGUAGAUAUCAGGAGGAACACCGAUGGCGAAGGCAGUGGGCUGGGCCGGCACUGACGCUGAGGAGCGAAAGCGUGGGGAGCGAACAGG